rnacentral:lncRNA from 1 species
CGGCCAUUAAAAAAAGUUUUAAGAUAUGAGAAAAAUAAUUGUUCCAGGACCAUUUGAGAAAAAUUGAGAAAUUUAGGGACUAAAAUGUGAGUUUGGCCAAAUUUAAAAGUUAAAAUUUAACUCCACUUCUGCCGGCUACACGAUUCACGAACAUCUUUUGCCGGCUUUAAAUACCCAUUUCCUCCGUUUUCCUGUCCAUAACAGUCCUCCAACCGUCAAAUCAUCAUGGACUUCGCUAACAACACCACCAACUACUCCCC